rnacentral:rRNA from 1 species
UACAGAGGUCUCAAGCGUUGUCCGGAAUUAUUGGGCGUAAAGAGCUUGUAGGCGGUUUGUCGCGUCUGCUGUGAAAAUCCGGGGCUCAACCCCGGACUUGCAGUGGGUACGGGCAGACUAGAGUGUGGUAGGGGAGACUGGAAUUCCUGGUGUAGCGGUGGAAUGCGCAGAUAUCAGGAGGAACACCGAUGGCGAAGGCAGGUCUCUGGGCCACUACUGACGCUGAGAAGCGAAAGCAUGGGGAGCGAACAGG